UGAAAAAGCAAACGAGACCGUUGAGAGC
rnacentral:piRNA from 1 species